AACAAACGCUGGCGGCGUGCCUAAUACAUGCAAGUCGAACGGGGAAAGCUUUCGGGUGAGUACUAGUGGCGCACGGGUGAGGAACGCGUGGAUAAUCUGCCUUAGAGUGGGGGAUAACUAGUCGAAAGAUUAGCUAAUACCGCAUAAGACCACAGGAGCUGCGGCUCAAGGGGUCAAAGGUUUUUCGCUCUAAGAUGAGUCCGCGUAAGAUUAGCUAGUUGGUGAGGUAACGGCUCACCAAGGCGACGAUCUUUAACUGGUCUGAGAGGAUGAUCAGUCACACUGGAACUGAGACACGGUCCAGACUCCUACGGGAGGCAGCAGUAGGGAAUAUUGCACAAUGGAGGAAACUCUGAUGCAGCGACGCCGCGUGAGUGAUGAAGGCCUUCGGGUCGUAAAGCUCUGUCGCAGGGGAAACUCGUGAGGCUUGACGGUACCGUAAGAAGAAGCACCGGCUAACCCCGUGCCAGCAGCCGCCGUAAAAC
rnacentral:rRNA from 1 species